rnacentral:misc_RNA from 1 species
GUAGGUGAACCUGCGGAAGGAUCAUUAUUGAAUAAACUUGGUUAGGUUGUUGCUGGCUCUUAGGAGCAUGUGCACGCUUACUCCAUUUUUAACCACCUGUGCACCUUGCGUAGAUCUGAAAUAUCUCGAGGAAACUCGGUUUGAGAAUUGCUGUGCGACAGCCAGCUCUUCUUGUAUUCAGGUCUAUGUUUCUACAUAUACCCCACAUGAAUGUAUUCGCAUGUUGUAAUCGGCCUUUGUGCCUUUAAAA